AGAUUYGAGGAAGCCUUGAAGAAGUUGGGGUUUUACGGCAGGGGAUCAGUCCAACUAAUAGGNGAGAUAAAAAAUUACUACGUCUAGAGUGUGAACCAACUCCGCCACUAACUUUGAGGAGCUACGUUGCCGUAGGCUCCCAACACUAAGCAACUAAGGCUUAAGGGUCGAAAUGACGCUCGAACGGUCCUGCCCACUAGAAUACUAAUGGGCGCAAUAUGCGUUCAAAGAUUCGAUGAUUCACUGAAUUCUGCAAUUCACAUUACUUAUCGCAUUUCGCUGCGUUCUUCAUCGAUGCCAGAACCAAGAGAUCCGUUGUUGAAAGUUUUAACUUAUUUAGUUAUAGGUUCAGAAUUCAAUAUCAAACAGAGUUUGGUGGGCCGCCGGCAGGCUUACCCGCACCUCCCGGGUAAGUCUUACAGGGUAAGACUACGAGGUAGGCGCGACCUGCCGAGGCAACGUUAGGUAUGUUCACAUGGGUUUGGGAGUUAUAGAACUCUUUUAAUGAUCCCUCCGCAGGUUCACCUACGGAGG
rnacentral:rRNA from 1 species